UAGGGACCUACUGGACAUCGCCGAAAAUCGCUCCGGGCACCGACGGCAGGAGUUGGACGGGGAAUAGAGCAAGAAGGAGGAUAGCAAAAAUAAGAGGCAGCCAAAUAAAACCUUUAGGGCAACCUCGAGGGGUUUAUAUAGGCCCCUCUGACGGCCCAGAUCGGCAGGGUCGGUUCCCAUCCCCCGACCGGAUUGCGCCACGUGUCGACCUCGGAGGCCGAGGCACCGUAUUCACUCCGGAUCAAUAAAUCGGGUACGAAAUCGAAAUGUUGUCCCAUCGGAUCUUGGGGCCUCAUCAUGGGUCUGCAGAAUCGAAUCGCCUUGAAGAACGAGCGGACGGCGCCCCCGCUCCCCUCAUUUAAUAAGGCCCUGGGGCACGUGGAGCCCCGAUGUAGCCUCCAACUCGCCAGAUCCAUGAUCCGGUAACACGAGAUCGGAAACGUCCGACCUCAGAUCAUGCCGCGUGUCCAUUUUGAAACACAAAACGGCACACUCAUUGAUGAACGGGGAGCUUCGACCACAGGAUCAAGGC
rnacentral:lncRNA from 1 species